rnacentral:rRNA from 1 species
UACGUAGGGUGCAAGCGUUAAUCGGAAUUACUGGGCGUAAAGCGUGCGCAGGCGGUUCUGUAAGACAGGGGUGAAAUCCCAGGGCUUAACCUUGGAACUGCAUUUGUGACUGCAUAGCUAGAGUACGGUAGAGGGGGAUGGAAUUCCGCGUGUAGCAGUGAAAUGCGUAGAUAUGCGGAGGAACACCGAUGGCGAAGGCAAUCCCCUGGACCUGUACUGACGCUCAUGCACGAAAGCGUGGGGAGCAAACAGG